UACGGAGGGUGCAAGCGUUAAUCGGAAUUACUGGGCGUAAAGGGUGCGUAGGUGGUUUGAUAAGUUAACUGUGAAAGCCCUGGGCUCAACCUGGGAAGGCCAGUUAAGACUGUUGAACUAGAGUAUGGGAGAGGAUAGUGGAAUUUCCGGUGUAGCGGUGAAAUGCGUAGAGAUCGGAAGGAACACCAGUGGCGAAGGCGGCUAUCUGGCCUAAUACUGACACUGAAGCACGAAAGCGUGGGGAGCAAACAGG
rnacentral:rRNA from 1 species